GAUGAACGCUGGCGGCGUGCCUAAUACAUGCAAGUCGAGCGAACAGACGAGGAGCUUGCUCCUCUGACGUUAGCGGCGGACGGGUGAGUAACACGUGGAUAACCUACCUAUAAGACUGGGAUAACUUCGGGAAACCGGCGCUAAUACCGGAUAAUAUAUUGAACCGCAUGGUUCAAUAGUGAAAGACGGUUUUGCUGUCACUUAUAGAUGGAUCCGCGCCGCAUUAGCUAGUUGGUAAGGUAACGGCUUACCAAGGCAACGAUGCGUAGCCGACCUGAUAGGGUGAUCGGCCACACUGGAACGGAGACACGGUCCAGACUCCUACGGGAGGCAGCAGUAGGGAAUCUUCCGCAAUGGGCGAAAGCCUGACGGAGCAACGCCGCGGGAGUGAUGAAGGUCUUCGGAUCGUAAAACUCUGUGAUUAGGGAAGAACAAAUGUGUAAGUAACUAUGCACGUCUUGACGGUACCUAAUCAGAAAGCCACGGCUAACUACGUG
rnacentral:rRNA from 1 species